rnacentral:rRNA from 1 species
AGGGAAAGGUGAAAAGAACCCCGGGAGGGGAGUGAAAUAGUACCUGAAACCGUAUGUCUACAAGCAGUCGAAGCGAAAGCGACGGCGUGCCUAUUGAAGAAUGAACCAACGAGUUAUCUGCACUAGCGAGGUUAAGUGGAAGACACGGAGCCGCAGCGAAAGCGAGUCUUAAGAGGGCGCUAGUUAGUGUAGGUAGACCCGAAACCGCAGUGAUCUACCCAUGUCCAGGUUGAAGCGCAGGUAAAAUUGCGUGGAGGACCGAACCGGUGAGCGUUGAAAAGCUUUCGGAUGAGAUGUGGGUAGGGGUGAAAUUCCAAUCGAACGCGGAGAUAGCUGGUUCUCCCCGAAAUAGCUUUAGGGCUAGCCUGAGGUAGUAAGUAUAGGCGGUAGAGCACUGAUCGGGCUAGGGGCCGUAAAGGUUACCGAACCCUGUCAAACUCCGAAUGGAUAUACUGUAGAGCCUUGGAGUCAGACUACGAGUGAUAAGAUCCGUGGUCAAAAGGGAAACAGCCCAGACCACCAGCUAAGGUCCCCAAUGUCGUACUAAGUGGAAAAGGAUGUGGGGUUUCAUAAACAACCAGGAUGUUGGCUCAGAAGCAGCCACCAUUUAAAGAGUGCGUAAUAGCUCACUGGUCGAGAGACCCUGCGCCGAAGAUUCCCGGGGCUAAAGUACGAAACCGAAGCUGUGGCUGUAUACGUAAAGUAUACGGGGUAGGGGAGCGUUCCCAUAGGGUAGAAGUCGAACUGGAAGGUUCGGUGGACUUGUGGGAAGUGAGAAUGUUGGUAUGAGUAGCGAAAAGAAAGGUGAGAAUCCUUUCCACCGAAAGCAUAAGGAUUCCUGAGCAACGAUCGUCGUCUCAGGGUAAGUCGGGACCUAAUCCGAGGCAGAGAGCGUAGGAGAUGGACAACUGGUUGAUAUUCCAGUACCGGUAGUAAUUGUUUGAGCAAUGGAGUGACACAGAAGGGCAGGCAAGCAUGCGAAUGGAAGAGCAUGUGUAAGCGUGUAGGGUGGUGCAUAGGCAAAUCCGUGCACUGAAAGCCUGAGGCGUGAUGCGGAGUGAGCAGAGAUGCGAGCGAAGUUGUUGACCCCACACUGUCGAGAAAAGCUUCUAGUGAGAGAGCUACCGCCCGUACCGUAAACCGACACAGGUAUGCGGGGAGAGAAUCCUAAGGUGCGCGGGAGAACCCUCGUUAAGGAACUCGGCAAAAUGUACCCGUAACUUCGGGAUAAGGGUAGCCACUGUUGUGAAGUCCCACGCGGAUGGAGCAUAGAGUGGUCGCAGAGAAGAGGCCCAAGCGACUGUUUACCAUAAACACAGGUGCCUGCUAAAGCGAAAGCUGACGUAUAGGUGCUGACACCUGCCCAGUGCCGGAAGGUUAAGGAAGGAUGUUCGGAUUAGUCCAAAGCAUUCGACUGAAGCCCCGGUGAACGGCGGCCGUAACUAUAACGGUCCUAAGGUAGCGAAAUUCCUUGUCGGGUAAGUUCCGACCCGCACGAAAGGUGUAACGAUUUGGGCACUGUCUCAACGAGGGACCCGGUGAAAUUGAAAUACCUGUGAAGAUGCAGGUUACCCGCGACUGGACAGAAAGACCCCAUGGAGCUUUACUGUAACCUGACAUUGGGUUUUGAUACAUUACGUACAGGAUAGGUGGGAGGCUUGGAAAGCUGGACGCUAGUCUGGCUGGAGCCGACGUUGGGAUACCACCCUUGAUGUAUUGAAAUUCUAACCGCGAGAGUAACGAAAUCCGGGACAGUGUCAGGCGGGCAGUUUGACUGGGGCGGUCGCCUCCGAAAGAGUAACGGAGGCGCCCAAAGGUUCCCUCAGCGCGGCCGGAAAUCGCGCGAAGAGUGUAAAGGCAGAAGGGAGCUUGACUGCGAGUCAAACACGACGAGCAGGUACGAAAGUAGGGCUUAGUGAUCCGGUGGUACCGAGUGGAAGGGCCAUCGCUCAACGGAUAAAAGCUACCCUGGGGAUAACAGGCUAAUCUCUCCCAAGAGUCCAUAUCGACGGGGAGGUUUGGCACCUCGAUGUCGGCUCAUCACAUCCUGGGGCUGAAGUCGGUCCCAAGGGUUGGGCUGUUCGCCCAUUAAAGUGGUACGUGAGCUGGGUUCAGAACGUCGUGAGACAGUUCGGUCCCUAUCCAUCGCGGGCGCAAGAGAUUUGAAGGGGGCUGCUCCUAGUACGAGAGGACCGGAGUGGACGAACCGCUGGUGUACCAAUUAUCCCGCCAGGGGUACAGUUGGGUAGCUACGUUCGGAAAGGAUAAACGCUGAAAGCAUCUAAGCGUGAAACCAGCCUUAAGAUGAGAUCUCUCAUAGAGCAAUCUAGU